UGGGGAAUUUUGGACAAUGGGCGCAAGCCUGAUCCAGCAAUGCCGCGUGCAGGAUGAAGGCCUUCGGGUUGUAAACUGCUUUUGUACGGAGCGAAAAGGUCUGCCCUAAUACGGUGGGCUCAUGACGGUACCGUAAGAAUAAGCACCGGCUAACUACGUGCCAGCAGCCGUGGUAAUACGUAGGGUGCGAGCGUUAAUCGGAAUUACUGGGCGUAAAGCGUGCGCAGGCGGUUCUGUAAGACAGAGGUGAAAUCCCCGGGCUCAACCUGGGAAUUGCCUUUGUGACUGCAAGGCUUGAGUGCGGCAGAGGGGGAUGGAAUUCCGCGUGUAGCAGUGAAAUGCGUAGAUAUGCGGAGGAACACCGAUGGCGAAGGCAAUCCCCUGGGCCUGCACUGACGCUCAUGCACGAAAGCGUGGGGAGCAAACA
rnacentral:rRNA from 1 species